rnacentral:rRNA from 1 species
AGCGAACGCUGGCGGCAGGCCUAACACAUGCAAGUCGAGCGCCCAGCAAUGGGAGCGGCAGACGGGAUAGUAACACGUGGGAACGUACCCUUCAGUUCGGAACAACCCAGGGAAACUUGGGCUAAUACCGAAUACGUCCGUAAGGAGAAAGAUUUAUCGCUGAAGGAUCGGCCCGCGUCUGAUUAGCUAGUUGGUGAGGUAAUGGCUCACCAAGGCGACGAUCGGUAGCCGGCCNGAGAGGGUGAUCGGCCACACUGGAACUGAGACACGGUCCAGACUCCUACGGGAGGCAGCAGUGGGGAAUUUUGCGCAAUGGGCUAACGCCUGACGCAGCAACGCCGCGUGGAGGAUGAAGGGUCCUUGGAUUGUAAACCUCUUUCAGCUCCGACGAAGCGAAAGUGACGGUAGGAGCAGAAGAAGCACCGGCCAACUACGUGCCAGCAGCCGCCGUAA